rfam:Leptospira licerasiae serovar Varillal str. VAR 010 7180000002863, whole genome shotgun sequence.
GAAGGUCUGCCGGAUGGUCGCGCUUUCUUUUCUGAUCGAGUGGAUUUCCCCUCAUUCGGGAAGUUUGUGAGGAAAGUCCGGACACCAUAGAACCGCGGGACCGGGUAAUUCCCGGAGUUCGGGAUCGUAAGAAACCGGAUAUGGAAAGUGCAGCAGAAAAUAUACCGCUAGUUUUCUAGUAAGGGUGAAAUGGCGGGGUAAGAGCCCACCGCCGCUUUUGUGAAAAGGCGGGCAAUGUAAACCCUCCCGGGUGCAAUCUCGAAUAGGCGGCCAUCGUUGGUUCUGCAGGGCCGCGGGUAGAGAGCAAAGAGUCUUUUCGGUAACUGAAAGACCAAGAUAAAUGAUCAUCGCUCGAAAGAGUACAAAAUCCGGCUUACAGGCAACCUUCCACU